GGAAGGGCACGGCGUAGUCGGUGCCGACGGUGCCGUCGCCGAGGGACGCGACCGGGUUGGUGAGGUCCCAGACCAGCAGCGACUUGUCGCGGGAGCCGGACACGAUGUAGGGCGAGUUGUCGAUCGGCGCCGCGAUCGCCGUCACCACGUCGUUGUGGCCGCGCAUCGUGCCCACCAGGGUGAGCGACUCCUGCAUGUUCGCCAUGGCUGCCGCGGGGAGAUUGGUGGGGCGGAGCUCGCGGCG
rnacentral:lncRNA from 1 species